UGCUCCAUAUACUUAUUUUGUCCAGGUCUUCUUGAAAGGCAUGACAAUCAUCUAAGUUUCUUAUCCUUCCUAUUAUCUUAGCAUCAUCAGCAAAUACGCUCAUAAAAUUUUGUAUUCCUUCUGGUAUGUCGUGUGUGUCCUGGACGAGUAUUGUAUUGUCUUCCACUGUGUCCUGGACGAGUAUGAUAUUCUCUUGCACAGUGUUCUGGACGAGAACGAUAUAUUGCAAUGUGUCCUGAGUGAGUACGGUAUUCUUUAGCACCGUGUCCCGGACAUGUAUGAUAUACUCUUUGAAGGUGUUCUGGAUGAGUAUUGUAAUAUCUUGCCUUGAGUCCUGGGUGAGCAUUGUAAAAAUAUUGCAAAUUUAUUAUCCAUGCAGUAAAGGAAAAUCAUAUGGCAAAAUUUGUGCAUCUCUAAUAAUCAGUUCUCUCAUUUGUCAUCUGCAUGCCUAGGAAUAUACAAUGUGUGUGUGUGUGUGUGUGUGUGUGUGUGUGUGUGUGUGUGUGUGUGAGAGAGAAUGCAUGCAGCUUGAAGUGGUGAGAAGUGCAUGCAGGAAAGAUGUAGAUGGCCACGUUACACAAGGUAGAUAACUCUCAGUUGUUUUGUGUUAUCAUCAUCGUGUUACCACCCUUCUGCUCUUUGAUUUCCUUGCUGGUUUUAAAGAAUUUUUGUGAUAACCAUGGAUAAACACACUGUAAAAUGAUCACUGAACAUAGUUUGAUGGUUGACUUUAAAUAUUAAGUGGAAUUUAAUUUAUCAUAAAAUAUGGCAUCCUACUUUUUUUUUUUUUUAAGACAGCCAUUAAGUGGAAAGUAAGACGAGGAAAUUUUUGUUUACAACAAAAUUAUGUCUUCAAAUAUCACUACUUGUCCUCCACUAAACAGAGGCUGUGCUAGUCCAAGUCAAAAGAUGGAGCAUCCUGGCAUGCACAUUUGGGCAUGGUGGCCAAAGGCACAAGAAUGCCAUCCCUGUGGCAAAGGACCACAGUACUGUUGGAAGUGGGUCAGUGUUAAGAGUUUGACCCUAGGUUUAGCUCUUGGGAAGAGGUAAACAGGGUUUGACCCCAGGUUUAGCUCUUGGGAAGAGGUAAACAGGGUUUGACCCCAGGUUUAGCUCUUGGGAAGAGGUAAACAGGGUUUGACUCCAGGUUUAGCUCCUGGGAAGAGGUAAACAGGGUUUGACCCCAGGUUUAGCUCCUGGGAAGAGGUAAACAGGGUUUGACCCCAGGUUUAGCUCCUGGGAAAGGUAAACAGGGUUUGACCCCAGGUUUAGCUCUUGGGAAGAGGUAAACAGGGUUUGACCCCAGGUUUAGCUCUUGGGAAGAGGUAAACAGGGUUUGACCCCAGGUUUAGCUCCUGGGAAGAGGUAAACAGGGUUUGACCCCAGGUUUAGCUCUUGGGAAGAGGUAAACAGGGUUUGACCCCAGGUUUAGCUCUUGGGAAGAGGUAAACAGGGUUUGACCCCAGGUUUAGCUCUUGGGAAGAGGUAAACAGGGUUUGACCCCAGGUUUAGCUCUUGGGAAGAGGUAAACAGGGUUUGACCCCAGGUUUAGCUCCUGGGAAAGGUAAACAGGGUUUGACCCCAGGUUUAGCUCUUGGGAAGAGGUAAACAGGGUUUGACCCCAGGUUUAGCUCUUGGGAAGAGGUAAACAGGGUUUGACCCCAGGUUUAGCUCUUGGGAAGAGGUAAACAGGGUUUGACCCCAGGUUUAGCUCUUGGGAAGAGGUAAACAGGGUUUGACCCCAGGUUUAGCUCUUGGGAAGAGGUAAACAGGGUUUGAUCCCAGGUUUAGCUCUUGGGAAGAGGUAAACAGGGUUUGACCCCAGGUUUAGCUCUUGGGAAGAGGUAAACAGGGUUUGACCCCAGGUUUAGCUCUUGGGAAGAGGUAAACAGGGUUUGACCCCAGGUUUAGCUCCUGGGAAGAGGUAAACAGGGUUUGACCCCAGGUUUAGCUCCUGGGAAGAGGUAAACAGGGUUUGACCCCAGGUUUAGCUCCUGGGAAGAGGUAAACAGGGUUUGACCCCAGGUUUAGCUCCUGGGAAGAGGUAAACAGGGUUUGACCCCAGGUUUAGCUCUUGGGAAGAGGUAAACAGGGUUUGACCCCAGGUUUAGCUCCUGGGAAGAGGUAAACAGGGUUUGACCCCAGGUUUAGCUCUUGGGAAGAGGUAAACAGGGUUUGACCCCAGGUUUAGCUCCUGGGAAGAGGUAAACAGGGUUUGACCCCAGGUUUAGCUCUUGGGAAGAGGUAAACAGGGUUUGACCCCAGGUUUAGCUCCUGGGAAGAGGUAAACAGGGUUUGACCCCAGGUUUAGCUCCUGGGAAGAGGUAAACAGGGUUUGACCCCAGGUUUAGCUCCUGGGAAGAGGUAAACAGGGUUUGACCCCAGGUUUAGCUCCUGGGAAGAGGUAAACAGGGUUUGACCCCAGGUUUAGCUCCUGGGGAAAUGUUUGUUUAAAGUUAUUUGAUGUUGUGUGAAUAUAUUUUGUCUAUUGUAUGUUUUCCAGCUGUAAGAAAAUUUAAUGUAUUGUAUUAUGCAAGUUAAAUUACAUAAUUAUGUUUAUGCAUAAUUGAGAACACAUAGCAUAAGUUACAAACUACAGAAUGAAACACAUGAAUAUCUACUGUACUACAGAUAAGCCAAGUGCUCGGUGAUGACAACUAGAAUGUUGCGUGGCAAAGAGAGAACUUUGAGGUGGUUCUGAGGAUCAUUGUCCUGGCUCGGUAUUGAUUCCUUUUUCUUUACGUAUGAUGAUAUUUUGUCUAGACCGAGUAAUGACAAAGCAGGACCUUAGUCACUCCUUGUUCCUAUUGUGUUUGCAUCUAUCUCCAGAUUAAAAAUACUGUUAUGGGUGGUUGUUGCACACUGGUCUGCAAGCACCAUGUCCAUUGCAGCUCUUAUACAUCUAGCUGAUCUCUCCAUCUCUUCAGGCUCGGUCAGUCACGCAUUUCAACGGAGUGACUAGUGAAGCUCUGUUAAAGGCCUCACUGUGUUACAUUUAGUCAUAGGGUGCUUUGCCAGCCCACAUUGUGAUAUUUUCUGGGCUUAUAAAUGCUCCUUUAUACACUUGUAAACUAAACUGACACUGUUGAACUAUUGUUUCCAAGUUGUGUUAUUUUAUAAGAGGUUUUUGAGGAAUUUGUUGAAAUUGGCUCUUUAGUGUACAGAAUGUUUUCUACUAUAAUUUCAAGAAGUUAAAGUUUAUGUGCAAUAUCAUAAAUUUAGUUUGAAUGCAUGCAAAGCUGUUGAUGAAAUUUGUGACAUUUAUUGAUUGCAUGGGUGAUAUGUAGCUUUCAAUUUUGUAUAUUGGCUCUUAUUAAUUAUUUAAGAACUAGGUUCUCCACUAUAUUUUGCUCCUCGUAUUAGGCAAGUUGGUUGAUAAAAAUCAGAGAUGGGGGAAUGGUGAUGAAGUACAGUACAGGUAUGUGUUUUUACAUUGACACCAGGUUUAUACCUUCCAUUAUUGCACAGUGAAAUCACAAGAAUGUGAUACAUGUGAGCAAAUAUUGAGGUGGUAUGAUGGGAAGCAGCCCACAUCCCUGGACUGCCCAGGUCCAGUCGGUAGUGCGCCUGGCCGAGAAGCUCGGGGGAUGCGGGUUCAGUCCCAUAGCAACUUCAAUGUUUAUUCUCUCUCCAGUUUUCUUAAUCAUGGCAUUCUUUAGAAUUUGACAUGGUUUGUGCAAAUUAAGUUGACUAAUGAUCUGAAAUGUAAGAGCAUGCCAAAAUUACUCCCCGGCAUGAUAGCUUCAGAGGAAGGAAACUGAAGCCAAUUUCAGAUACAAUAAACAAAGUAGGUGCUGAGUAACUUGUUGAAAGUCAGAGUGGAGACCAUAAUGGCUGAUAGUCCUACAGGGGAAAGUGAUGGUCAUGCUCAAUUGUUUAUUAUUGAAUUUGCUUCUCACUAUACUGUUAAAUUGAGACAUUUUAUAUGGGAAAUCUAUUUGCUGUACAUAUUAAUAAAAAGGCAUUGAGAAAGGUAUUA